GGGCUCAAUUCGGCAGCGCGUGCACUAAAACGGAACCAUACAGAGAAGAUUAGCAUGGCUUCUGCUCAACGAUGACACACAAAUUUGUGAAGCGUUUCAUAUUAAA